rnacentral:rRNA from 1 species
UACGAAGGGGGCUAGCGUUACUCGGAUUGACUGGGCGUAAAGGGCGCGUAGGCGGAUGGUACAGUCAGACGUGAAAUUCCUGGGCUCAACCUGGGGGCUGCGUUUGAUACGUGCUGUCUGGAGUUCGGAAGAGGGUCGUGGAAUUCCCAGUGUAGAGGUGAAAUUCGUAGAUAUUGGGAAGAACACCGGUGGCGAAGGCGGCGACCUGGUCCGAUACUGACGCUGAGGCGCGAAAGCGUGGGGAGCAAACAGA